UCUACGAGUUGCACUAAUGUGACUCAAGUUCUUCUUAAGAGUAUUAUUAUAAGGCCUGAGGAUACUGUAGCUAAAGGAACCGUUUUGAGCACGGAUCCAUUGACAAAAGUAAGGGGCAAAAACUUUGAGUUGGUUUCUAGGAAGUAUCUGUUCAAGUGGCAAUGGUACGUGAUGAGGAUUUGAUAAGGACCUAUGGACGAUAUAAAACAAUUGGGGAUGCAAUUGGAACGAGUAUUGCUUGGCCCACUACUUUAUGUAUGGUUGUAGAUAGAAAUGGAUGAUGACUACAUGGGAGAAGUUUUUAUUAAGUAUUUGGAACUAUAAACAUCUUUUGUAAGUGGGGGUAGUAGGGAUCCGUGGUUUCAGACUUUUGGAUUGAGUUAGACACAUAUAAACAGUUUAAUUUUAUCGUAGUUUAAUUAUAGAGGGCACAUCUAAACACAUCUAAUCUCUUUAAUUUAAUCUUAGUUUUAUAAGAUUAUGAUUUGUGAUUUGAA